GAAUAUAGCUGUAUAAUUACACACACACAUACGCACAGUAAUGUAUAAGAUGCAUGUAAUGUAGUAAUAUUUUUCUUUCUUUCUGUCUUACAGGAUUGUUUGCAGAUAAUGCUGUUCAAGCUCAACAGCUCUUUUAAGAGCCAACCCUCACAAACCUUCCUAAAAACUAAAAGAGCUGUUACUGAGUCUCAGCGAAUCUUGCCAUGAUCAGCUCUUCCCAGAAGAGAAGGAAGACCAAGGAAAUGAUUUGCUCAUGAGGAAUGAAGACGGCCAUCUUGAGCCCAAACAAAGACAGAAGUCCUCUGAUGAUCUCAUCAGCCAAAUGGGGGGUUUUGACCAAGUGAUGCUCUUGAAAGGACUGAAAGAAGAGGAUGUGGUAAAUUGUCUUCAGAGAAAAACCUUCUCUAAAGGUCUUAAAACAGCUUGAAGAAUGGUCUGGGAUGUUAGGACUGAGAGAUCCUCUGACUGAGAGAAGCUACACCACACCAGUGCUGGAUAUCAACCACAAACAGUUUCCAGACACGAGAGAAGAAGAUCACGAUGGGGAGAUGAAACCAGUUUAGAUGUGAUGAUGGGAAUCAUUAUUUUCUGGAACAGUAUCACAUGUCUUAUAUGCAUCACAUGAUCUGUAUCACAGUUGACUGGAUGGAUUAUUUUUACUUUUAAGGACAUUUCAUCACUCAUCUGUGUGAACUGAUUAAUUUAUGAUAUUAAUGAAUUUUUGAUCCUUUAUUAUUUUCCUUGAAUUGUGUUUGUCUUGAAGCUACUUUAUCAACUUCAUAGUCUAUGCUUCAAUAAAAUUAAUAUGGUGAA